rnacentral:rRNA from 1 species
GAUGAACGCUGGCGGUAUGCUUAACACAUGCAAGUCGAACGGUCACUUCGGUGAUAGUGGCGGACGGGUGAGUAACGCGUGAGAAUCUGUCUUCAGGUCGGGGACAACAGUUAGAAAUGACUGCUAAUACCGGAUGUGCCUUUGGGUGAAAGAUUUAUUGCCUGAAAAAGAGCUCGCGUCAGAUUAGCUAGUAGGUGGUGUAAGAGACUACCUAGGCUCCGAUCUGUAGCUGGUCUGAGAGGACGAUCAGCCACACUGGAACUGAGACACGGUCCAGACUCUUAAGGAAGGCAGCAGAGGGUAAUUCUACGCAAUGGCCGAGAGCAUGACGGAGCACGACAGCGUGAGCGACGAUGGCGUUAGGGUAAAAAACCUCUUUACUAAAGCAAGAUGGUGACGGUACUUGAGGAAUAAGCAUCGGCUAACUCUGUG